rnacentral:tRNA from 1 species
GAGGGUAUAACUCUAGUGGUAAAGUGCAUACUUAGUAUGCAUCGAGGUCCUGGGUUCAAUCCCCAGUACCUCCA